GUGCUCGCUUCAGCGGCACAUAUACUAAAACUGGCACAGCACAGAGAAGAUUAGCGUGGCCCUGCGCAAGGAUGACGCAAGUUUGUGAGGUGUUCCGUAUUUUA